AACAAACGCUGGCGGCGUGCCUAAUACAUGCAAGUCGAACGGGGUAGCAAUACCUAGUGGCGCACGGGUGAGGAACGCGUGGAUAAUCUGCCUUAGAGUGGGGGAUAACUAGUCGAAAGAUUAGCUAAUACCGCAUAAGACCACAGGAGCUGCGGCUCUAGGGGUCAAAGGUUUUUCGCUCUAAGAUGAGUCCGCGUAAGAUUAGCUAGUUGGUGAGGUAACGGCUCACCAAGGCGACGAUCUUUAACUGGUCUGAGAGGAUGAUCAGUCACACUGGAACUGAGACACGGUCCAGACUCCUACGGGAGGCAGCAGUAGGGAAUACUGCACAAUGGAGGAAACGCUGAUGCAGCGACGCCGCGUGAGUGAUGAAGGCCUUCGGGUCGUAAAGCUCUGUCGCAGGGGAAUAACACAAUGAAUGUACCCUGUAAGAAAGGAUCGGCUAACUUCGUGCCAGCCGCCGCGGUAACAC
rnacentral:rRNA from 1 species